rnacentral:lncRNA from 1 species
UUCCUCCUUCGUAUGAGUCCUUGGUGACUAUUCUUCUAGUAGAAAAGAAUACUAUCAAGAUGGAUGAGGUCACUGUGAUGAUUCUUCAAAAUGAGAUUCUCAAGAGGAAGAACCCGAUUUCGAGCUUAGAUAGUAGUAGCUCAGCUUUGAUAAUUUUUGAAGGAGCAGGUGGUAGCAGAUGGAGUAGCAAAGGAUCACAAGGUGGAUGAUCCAGAUCCAAGAUAAGGAACCCCAGC